GUCUCUCCUCCAUUUAGAAAACAAUAUUCUAUGCCUUUAUUCUUACUACUAAAAUGUAUGACUCCACACAUUGCUACUCUAUAUUCCACCUGCCUCUUCUCUGCCCACUCUCUCAACCUGUCCAAGUCCUUCUACAAAGUCUCUGCUUUCUCUACACUACCUGCACCCCCACCUAUUUU